GGCGAACGCUGGCGGCGUGCUUAACACAUGCAAGUCGAACGGAAAGGCCCUGCUUGCAGGGUACUCGAGUGGCGAACGGGUGAGUAACACGUGGGUGAUCUGCCCUGCACUUCGGGAUAAGCUUGGGAAACUGGGUCUAAUACCGGAUAGGAGCCAUCUUUAGUGUGGUGGUUGGAAAGUUUUUUCGGUGUAGGAUGAGCGCGCGGCCUAUCAGCUUGUUGGUGGGGUAAUGGCCUACCAAGGCGGCGACGGGUAGCCGGCCUGAGAGGGUGUACGGCCACAUUGGGACUGAGAUACGGCCCAGACUCCUACGGGAGGCAGCAGUGGGGAAUAUUGCACAAUGGGCGCAAGCCUGAUGCAGCGACGCCGCGUGGGGGAUGAAGGCCUUCGGGUUGUAAACUCCUUUCGCUAGGGACGAAGCUUUUUUGUGACGGUACCUAGAGAAGAAGCACCGGCUAACUACGUG
rnacentral:rRNA from 1 species